rnacentral:rRNA from 1 species
AAUCCAUAGGUUAAUGAGGCGAACCGGGGGAACUGAAACAUCUAAGUACCCCGAGGAAAAGAAAUCAACCGAGAUUCCCCCAGUAGCGGCGAGCGAACGGGGAGGAGCCCAGAGCCUGAAUCAGCAUGUGUGUUAGUGGAAGCGUCUGGAAAGGCGCGCGAUACAGGGUGACAGCCCCGUACACAAAAGCGCAUGUGCUGUGAGCUCGAUGAGUAGGGCGGGACACGUGGUAUCCUGUCUGAAUAUGGGGGGACCAUCCUCCAAGGCUAAAUACUCCUGACUGACCGAUAGUGAACCAGUACCGUGAGGGAAAGGCGAAAAGAACCCCGGCGAGGGGAGUGAAAAAGAACCUGAAA